GUGCUCAUCUUGGGAGCAUAUCUACUCAAAAAUGGAAACAAUACAGAGAAGGUUAGCAUGGUCCCUGUAUAAGGAUGACAUGCAAAUCCAUGAAGUGUUUCAUAUUUAA
rnacentral:snRNA from 1 species